rnacentral:rRNA from 1 species
UUAGGAAUCUUGCGCAAUGGGCGAAAGCCUGACGCAGCAACGCCGCGUGGGGGAUGAAGGCUCUCGGGUCGUAAACCCCUUUCAGCGGGGACGAUUGUGACGGUACCCGCAGAAGAAGGACCGGCCAACUACGUGCCAGCAGCCGCGGUAAUACGUAGGGUCCAAGCGUUGUCCGGAUUUAUUGGGCGUAAAGAGCUCGUAGGCGGUUUCGUAAGUCGGAUGUGAAAACUCAGGGCUCAACCCGGAGACGCCAUCUGAUACUGCGAUGACUGGAGUUUGGUAGGGGAACACGGAAUUCCUGGUGUAGCGGUGAAAUGCGCAGAUAUCAGGAGGAACACCGAUGGCGAAGGCAGUGUUCUGGGCCAGUACUGACGCUGAGGAGCGAAAGCGUGGGGAGCAAA